GCCGGUGACGGAAGUGCGGUGUUGAGCGCCGGCGGGUCGCGCCCACGCUGGGCCGGGAGUCGAAAUGCUUCCCGGUGCCGGGAGUGAGCGAUGAGCUGGCUUCUGUUCCUGGCCCACAGAGUCGCCUUGGCCGCCUUCCCCUGCCGCCGCGGCUCUCGCGGGUUCGGGAUGUUCUAUGCCGUGAGGAGGGGCCGCAAGACCGGGGUCUUUCUGACCUGGUGAGUGGCCCGCCCGCCGAGGCGCCUCCCUGCCGGCAUCGGGGUCGAGGGAGGCCGGAGCCCGGCUAACCCCGGCGGCGGGAGCCUGGCGGUCCGAGUCUGUGCCGCGCGCUGUGGCUGUGGGUGGUCGGGGGACCGCCUCGUUUUCCUGCUCGGCCGGCGGGGUUCCAGGAGGCUCAUGGCCGGGGACUGGACCGCACCGAAGACUUGUUUGAAAUAUCAGAAACGUCGCGUAAAGGAAUGAGUGCAGAGCACAGGUGGACCGGUUUCCUGCUGCCAGAUUUAAGAAGUUUGCCACAGAGGAUGAGGCCUGGGCCUUUGUCAGGAAAUCUGCAAGCCCGGAAGUUUCAGAAGGGCAUGAAAAUCAACAUGGACAGGAAUCGGAGGCAAAAGCCAGCAAGCGACUCCGUGAGCCACUGGAUGGAGAUGGACAUGAAAGCGCAGAGCCAUAUGCAAAGCACAUGAAGCCGAGCGUGGAGCCGGCGCCUCCAGUUAGCAGAGACACGUUUUCCUACAUGGGAGACUUCGUCGUGGUCUACACUGAUGGCUGCUGCUCCAGUAAUGGGCGUAGAAGGCCGCGAGCAGGAAUCGGCGUUUACUGGGGGCCGGGCCAUCCUUUAAAUGUAGGCAUUAGACUUCCUGGGCGGCAGACAAACCAAAGAGCGGAAAUUCAUGCAGCCUGCAAAGCCAUUGAACAAGCAAAGACUCAAAACAUCAAUAAACUGGUUCUGUAUACAGACAGUAUGUUUACGAUAAAUGGUAUAACUAACUGGGUUCAAGGUUGGAAGAAAAAUGGGUGGAAGACAAGUGCAGGGAAAGAGGUGAUCAACAAAGAGGACUUUGUGGCACUGGAGAGGCUUACCCAGGGGAUGGACAUUCAGUGGAUGCAUGUUCCUGGUCAUUCGGGAUUUAUAGGCAAUGAAGAAGCUGACAGAUUAGCCAGAGAAGGAGCUAAACAAUCGGAAGACUGAGCCAUGUGACUUUAGUCCUUGGGAGAACUUGAGCCAGUGGCUGUCUUGCUGCCUGUACUUACUGGUGUGGAAAAUAGCCUGCAGGGGCACUCUCCCGGGACAGGCCACACACCAGCCUCUGCGAGCCAGGAAGGAGCCUCCCCAGAAACGGAACCAGCGGGAACCUUGACCUGAGACUUGCAGCCUCCAGAACUGUGAGAAAAUAGAUUUCUGUUGUUUCAAGCCCCCGAGCCUGUGGUAUUCUGUCCCAGCAGCCUGAGCAGGCUGAAAUGGGAGGAAACUGCAGCCGAGUCAGCUCCUCCGACUCUAGGCCGACUGUUCUUCACUGUAUGACAUGUGACUCACCAGAUAAAGCCACACACGUCAUUCUUUUAAAAUUCUCUACUCUGUGAGUGCAAUGAAAUUAGUAUUUUUCCACAAGUCCUUUCCUUUCUCUGAUGUGUAAAGUAAGAGGCAGAGAGAUCCUGCUCUAGUCUCUGGGCCCUCCCUCUGCUGGCAAUGUUCUUUUUCUGUUUUAACCAUCUGAGCAGCACACGACCCCCCUGUCUUGGGGCAGUGACGGGUCUGUGGUCAGUGCAGGACCUGGUGCUGGCUCUCUCGUGGCCAGGACCGACAGUGGUCAUGCCUGGACCCCGCUGUGUGUCCUGCCCUGUUCAGUUUGCCAGAACAAGCUUUUGGUUCCAUUUUCAACACCUCUCUAGUCUGAUCAGCCCUGACCUCCACUGCAGGCUGCGUCCUUCCCUGCCUGUACUAGUGCAGAGCUCCUGGUGGGUUCGCACCUUCUCCCCCAGCUCCUCCCUCUCCAGGUAGCAGCCAGGAUGGCACUUUCAAACCAUGUCAGAUCACGUUGCUGCUGUGCUCAGGACCCUCCCAUGACUUCCUUGUCCCUCAGAAUAAAAUGCAGAUUCCUCCCCCACACCCACAGGUGUCCCCCUGUCCCCACCCCACACCUCACCUGCACUUGCCAACUCCAGCCAUGCGGCUCUUACUGACCUUCCUCAAUGUGCUGGGAACCUCCUGCCUCAGGGGCUUUGCUGUUCCACUGCCUGGGCUUUACUCAGAUGGAACUUUCUUUGUAAAAAUUAUUGAUUUCUAAAAUUAUGGUAAAAUAUACAUAACAUAAAGUUAACAUCUUAACUUUUUUUUUUUUUUUUUUUUAGACAGGAUAGUCUCACUCUAUCACGCAGGCUGGAGUGCAGUGGUGCAAUCACAGCUCACUGCAGCCUCUGCCUCCUGGGUUCAAGUGAUUCUCUUGCCUCAGCCUCCCAAGUAGCUGGGGACUAGAGGCACACACCACCACGCCUGGCUUUUUAAUUUUUUUUUAAUUUUUAGUAGAGACACGGUUUUGCCAUGUUGGUCAGGCUGGUCUCAAACUCCUGAUCUCAGGUGAUCCGCCUGCCUCACCGUCCCCAAGUGCUGGGCUUACAGGUGUGAACCACUGCGGCCAGCCCAUCUUAGCCAUUUUUAAGUGUGCAGUUCAGUGGCAUUAGGUACACUCACACUGCUGUACAACCAUCAGUACCCUCCAUCUCCAGAACUUCACAUCUUCCCAGACUGAAGCUCUGUUUGUGUUGGACACGGACUCCCCAGCCCGCUUCCCCAGCCCCUGGCAGCACUGUUCUGCUUUCCAUCUCUAUGAAUGUGACUCCUCUGGGGACCCCGUAUAAAUGGAAUCGUGCAGGAUUUGGCCUUUUGGGCCUGGCUUAUUUCACUGACCCUAAUGUCCUCAAGGUUCCUCCACAUGGUAGCAGGUGUGAGAAUUCCCUUCCUUCUAAGGCUGAAGAAUGCUCCAUUGUGUGGAUGUGGCACAGGAUUUUUUCCGUGCCACUUCACCAGCCGGAGACCUCCAUGGCCGCCGGCGCCCCUGCCCGGCCUCACUCGGCCCAAGGAUCACUGCUGGAGGUACUCUGCACAUUCGGCCCAGUGAGCUGUGCUCGGCUUGCACCCCGGCCCAGAUCCCACGCUUGCCACAGGAUCCGCGCUCAGCCGGCGGUUGGGCCGGGCAUGCCGCAACCUGCUUCUGCCUUGGGCACCGGUGUCUGGAUGAGGGGAACGUGGUGGCACCCAAAACUCAGAGACACCAGGAACCGCAGAGCCCCAAGGGUGUCACAGCUCAACCGUUCCCACCACCUGUGACUUGGCGAGCAGGGCGUGCUACAGCCCUGGUUCAGGGAGUCUGACGUCUGGGCUCUCGGGAAGCGCCACAGCUCUAGUUCAUUCCUGCUGCCCGCAACUUCAGCAAACGGGUGUGUGGCAGCCAGCAGUUUCUUCUCUUCCACUGCUCAGCAAGCAGGAGGGAGGGUUACAGUGUUACAGCCUUUUUUCACACCCACUGUUCUGCAGGUCCCAAGUUCUUGUCCCACAUCCAGAAGAAUAAGGUUAUGCAGACAACCGGAGAGUGAGCAGGGCAGAAAAAACUUACUGCAGGACGGAACAGCUCCCAGUGUUGAGGGGCCCUGAGAGUGGGCAGCCACUACCUGAAGGCGAGUAGUCUCUACCCAAAGGUGGUAGUCCCUGCCGUGUGGCUGAGUCCAGGGUUUUUAUGGGCUCAGAAAGGGGGAGUGUGUGCUGAUUGGCCCAUGGGCGGGCCUAGAAAAAAAUCACCAUUUGAUUGGCUAAAAGGUCGUGGACUUAACCUGGAACUGGCAGCCUGGUUUUCCAGCUUCAGGCUGUCUUUGGCUUGAAGGUCGGGUUUCACUGGGGACCUGCCCCAGUCUGCCUAGGAAUCUGUCUUCUGCUACUAUCAGAGGGACCACGCUUCGCUUAUCCAGUCGUCAUUCACGGACCCUGCAUUGUCUCUGCCUCUUGGGCUUUGUGAAGAACGCUACUGUGAACAGGGGAGUCCCCCUGCCUGUUUGGGUCCCUGCUUUCCAUUUCUUUGGGAGGUAUGUGGAGAGGAGAUUGCGGGGUCAUGUGGUCAUUCUGUUUGGCCCUCGGAGGAGCAGGCAUCCUGUUUUCCACAGCAGCUCUGCCAUCAAAUGGCACUUUCUUAGUGACACCCCCCGUAUCUCUCACCAUAAAUGUCUCUCCCCGUAAACAUUGCAACUCCUGGCUCACUUUCCUUCUCCUGUAACUUGUCACUGUGGAACUCUCAGGUGUGCCUGAGCCGACUCGCAGCAGCCCAGGAAGGCCAGCAGUGAGGCCCCUUCCCCGCUCCGUGGUCAGUGCCUUCACACAGGGAGUUUGGAGGUGGCUGUAGUGGAGGACUCACACCGCAGAAAUCAGCCAGUGCUGCAGGUCAGGGGCCGCCAUCCCCCAGAGCUGCUGUGAGACAUCGACCAGCACAUCAGUGGGCUGCUUUCUGCUGGUUUUAUUUGCAUGUAUUUUGGUCUGUUUCCCUACCUAGAAAAUAAACUCCCUGUGGCAGAAGUUUUAUCUCUCUGCUCCCUUCUUGGUUCCCAGCUCUUGGAACAGAACCAGACUUCUGGCCGGGGCUCAGUCAGUGCUUGCAAGAUGUUUGUUGGCACCAGGCUGUGCCAGGAGAGGUGAGCUCUGAGAGGGCAGUGUGAGGAAGGAGCAAGCCUCGCGGCUCUCUUUGGAGAAAAGGCCCGGGUGACAUUUUAUGCGUCCUUUCCCUUCCCCUAAGGCAGCACGAUCAGCUUCUCUGUGGGCACAGAGGCCUGGGUUCUCGCCUCGCUCUGCCCGAAGGGCGAGCAGCUCCAUCAGUCCUGUCUGCGCGGGAGAGCGCCUCCAUGCCCCUUAGUGCGGUGCCUCCCAGCCUUUAUAAUGUCAGGGCAUGGCUAGAAAAUACGAUUUCUACAGCACAUCGGGGCCAAAUGGAGGGCGUUGUUGGGUGCAUCUCUUUGGGUCUCAGUGAACACUUCCACUAAAUUCUUUACAUGCAAUCAUGCACUGCAUAGCAACAUUUCUGUCGAUGCACUGCAUAUACAACAGGGGCCUCGUCAGAUGAUGAUACCGUGUUUUUGCUGUAACUUUCCUAUGCUUAGAUACACAAAUCCUUACCAUUGUGUGACAGUUGCCUGCAGGAUUCAGAGCAGUGACCUGCUGUACAGGUUUAUAGCCCAGAAGCCAUAGGCUGUGCCACGUGGCCCAGGUGUGUAGUGGGCUGUACCAUCUAGGGGUGUGAAAUCACCUAAGGACACCUUCCUUAGAACCUAUCCCCGUCAAGGGAUGCGAGGCUGAGUAACGGGGCCCCUUGGGAGUUCAGCACUCAGCAUGUUUCAGUGAGUGACUGAAAUAAUGAACGUUCUGAUCGGGCCCUCUCUGGCUGGCACCUGUGAACCACUCGCUUUGUACCCAUUAUUUCUUGUUCCCACAGCAUCAUUAUAAACUGCUGAUCUACUGUUUCUUUGUCAAACGGGAGGAGAUAACAUAAAGGUCAUAAGAAAUGUUUGCAGACGGAGUGAAUGCCUUGAAAGUGCUGCGACCAGGUGCUGACAUCCGGAGGUCUGGCUGCUCGAAGUGUUAGCUGACACGGAAGACACACGGACUUUCCCUCCAUUCCCCAAAACUCCCCCUCCCUGACUCGUCAGCUGCAUAAAAACCCUCUCCUUAUCUCUUUGUCAAGGGGAUUUGAGAAAUCUUGCUGUCUUGUCUUCUUGCUUUGGCCAAAUGGAAUAAACCUUUGUCUCCAGA